AUACGGAGGGUGCAAGCGUUGUUCGGAAUAACUGGGCGUAAAGCGCACGUAGGCGGAAUGUUAAGUUAGAGGUGAAAUCCCAGGGCUCAACCCUGGAACGGCCUUUAAUACUGGCAAUCUAGAGACCGAGAGAGGUGAGUGGAAUUCCGAGUGUAGAGGUGAAAUUCGUAGAUAUUCGGAGGAACACCAGUGGCGAAGGCGGCUCACUGGCUCGGUACUGACGCUGAGGUGCGAAAGCGUGGGGAGCAAACAGGAUUAGAAACCCUAGUAGUCC
rnacentral:rRNA from 1 species